GACGAACGCUGGCGGCGUGCUUAACACAUGCAAGUCGAACGGAAAGGCCCUGCUUUUGUGGGGUGCUCGAGUGGUGAACGGGUGAGUAACACGUGAGUAACCUGCCCUUGACUUUGGGAUAACUUCAGGAAACUGGGGCUAAUACCGGAUAGGAGCUCCUGCUGCAUGGUGGGGGUUGGAAAGUUUCGGCGGUUGGGGAUGGACUCGCGGCUUAUCAGCUUGUUGGUGGGGUAGUGGCUUACCAAGGCUUUGACGGGUAGCCGGCCUGAGAGGGUGACCGGCCACAUUGGGACUGAGAUACGGCCCAGACUCCUACGGGAGGCAGCAGUGGGGAAUAUUGCACAAUGGGCGGAAGCCUGAUGCAGCAACGCCGCGUGCGGGAUGACGGCCUUCGGGUUGUAAACCGCUUUCGCCUGUGACGAAGCGUGAGUGACGGUAAUGGGUAAAGAAGCACCGGCUAAAUACGUG
rnacentral:rRNA from 1 species